rnacentral:rRNA from 1 species
UACAGAGGUCCCAAGCGUUGUUCGGAUUCACUGGGCGUAAAGGGUGCGUAGGCGGCAGGGUAAGUUUGAUGUGAAAUCCCCGGGCUCAACCCGGGAACUGCAUUGAAUACUCUCCUGCUAGAGGAUCGGAAGGGAGACUGGAAUUCUCGGUGUAGCAGUGAAAUGCGUAGAUAUCGAGAGGAACACCAGUGGCGAAGGCGAGUCUCUGGACGAUUCCUGACGAUGAGGCACGAAAGCUAGGGGAGCAAACAGG